GUUUCCCCUACGGGAUUGUGGGAGUCGUGGCUUGUCAGCACCCCGCCAGGAGGCCCCACCGCCUUGAGUUCUCAGAACUCCCAGCUCCUUGGACCCGACCCCCCAGCCGCCUCUCAUGCUUGUGUCUACGGGUUGCAUUGGUCGGAAGUGAACUCCCAGGCGGGCCGCCAUGAACUGGAAGGUUCUUGAACACGUGCCCCUGCUGCUGUAUAUUCUGGCGGCAAAAACCUUGAUCCUCUGCCUGGCCUUUGCGGGCGUGAAAAUGUACCAGAGGAAAAGCCUGGAAGCAAAGCUGCAAGCCGAAAGGAAGCAGCAGUCGGAGAAGAAGGAGAACUGAAGAGACCUCAGAGGUACUGCGCUUUGUAAGCAAAACCUGUCCUGAGAUCUCUGCAUCCUCAGGAUGAAGGCCGUGAGAGGACACAGGGGCCCCACAGACAGAUUUUUCUAUUGAAAUGUCAGCUUGGGUGGAUUCCAGCAGAGAAGAGAGAAGAAAGACCUAGCAAUUGCUGGAUGUCAGUGGAGGCCCCGCCAGCCAAGACCUUUAACUUAAAUGAUGAACAGCGUGAAUUUUUUAUGUUUUUAGAAGAACCAGUAUUUUGUUACUGAAAUAAAAUACAUUUCUAAAAAAGGC